rnacentral:misc_RNA from 1 species
UUAAGUUCAGCGGGUAGUCCUACCUGAUUUGAGAUCGAACGGUCAAAAAGCUGUCUUCGCUGAGGAGAGACAUUUAUAAGCUCCAGCGAACCUCUGUCGCCAAAGGUUACUCGGCAGACAACCGCAAGCGUAGAUAAUUAUCACACCUGUGAUGCCACCGAACACUGGGAAAGCUGAUCAAUUUGAGAGGAGCUGACCAC